GGAAGGGCAAGCUGUAUCGACCACCUGUGGUCAUCUUUUAUCAGGUGCAGAUGAUGCUAGGAAAAUACUCAAUAAUGAUGGUACAUGUCCAAUUUGUGAUCAGGUGCUCUCAAAAAGCCAUAUGAAACCUAUGGAUAUAAAUCCAGGUGAUGAUUGGACAAAUAUGGCAAUGGUUGGAAUAUCCCCACAAAUACGUAUCCUUCGUUUCCAUUGACCUUUCAC